rnacentral:rRNA from 1 species
UGGGGAAUUUUGCACAAUGGGGGAAACCCUGAUGCAGCGACGCCGCGUGAUUUAGAAGGCCUUCGGGUUGUAAAAAUCUUUUUUAUGGGAUGAAAAUGACAGUACCAUAAGAAUAAGGUCCGGCUAAAUACGUGCCAGCAGCCGCGGUAAUACGUAUGGACCGAGCGUUGUCCGGAAUCAUUGGGCGUAAAGGGUACGUAGGCGGCCCAGUAAGUUAGAAGUGAAAUAAUAUAGCUCAACUAUAUAAAGCUUUUAAAACUGCUAGGCUUGAAAGAUGGAAGAGAAAGUGGAAUUCCUGGUGUAGCGGUGAAAUGCGCAGAUAUUAGGAAGAAUACCGGUGGCGAAGGCGACUGUCUGGUCAUCAUCUGACGCUGAGGUACGAAAGCGUGGGUAGCAAACAGG